rnacentral:rRNA from 1 species
UACGAAGGGGGCUAGCGUUGCUCGGAAUUACUGGGCGUAAAGGGCGCGUAGGCGGCCUGUUAAGUCGAACGUGAAAUCCCCGGGCUCAACCCGGGAACUGCGUCCGAUACUGGCAGGCUUGAAUUCGGGAGAGGGAUGCGGAAUUCCAGGUGUAGCGGUGAAAUGCGUAGAUAUCUGGAGGAACACCGGUGGCGAAGGCGGCAUCCUGGACCGAGAUUGACGCUGAGGCGCGAAAGCCAGGGGAGCAAACGGG